UACAGAGGGGGCAAGCGUUGUUCGGAAUUACUGGGCGUAAAGGCGCGUAGGCGGCCUGCUAAGUCGAACGUGAAAUCCCUGGGCUCAACCCAGGAACUGCGUCCGAUACUGGUUGGCUUGAAUCCGGGAGAGGGAUGUGGAAUUCCAGGUGUAGCGGUGAAAUUCGUAGAUAUUCGCAAGAACACCAGUGGCGAAGGCGGCUCACUGGCCCGGUACUGACGCUGAGGUGCGAAAGCGUGGGGAGCAAACAGG
rnacentral:rRNA from 1 species